AUAACGACUCUCGGCAACGGAUAUCUCGGCUCUCGCAUCGAUGAAGAACGUAGCGAACUGCGAUACUUGGUGUGAAUUGCAGAAUCCCGUGAACCAUCGAGUCUUUGAACGCAAGUUGCGCCCGAAACCUUCGGUCGAGGGCACGUUUGCCUGGGUGUCACA
rnacentral:rRNA from 3 species